GUGGACACUCCCCUAGGGGACCAGAUGGAAGACUGGGACAAAAGUAACACAGUAGCCAAUCACAGUGGCUAUAGCAUAAGCACUCCCCUUUUACAUAAAUCACUCCCUCUUUUCCAUCCUGGAGAUAAUUAACUUAAGGUAGCAAAGAGAGCCUUAAUUAUCUCCAGGUAGAAAGAAACAUGGCUUUUCUUAUUUUAGCAAAACAGCAUAAAAAUCUAUAACUUUCAUUUUACAUAACAUAAACUUUAAGUCCCACAUAUCCCCAGAUAGCUUGGAUCUGAGUGCAUAUUCUAGGCGAAUAGCGCUCAGAUCCCACGAACGCAGUUCUCAGAAACGUCGACUGAAGUUUGGCUUUCGCUGGCCGUUCAUGUGUUUGUAGCCGACUACAAGUUCCAUACUGUAGCUCUCUGGGGUCGGUCACUUUCGCAUACAUCCUGCGCACGAAUGAAGUAGUAUCUCCUUCAUUCGUGUGUUUUUCACCGUACGAACGAGGAUUUGAAGAGGUAGCAGUGGUGUUCGACAAAAUAAGUAGCCAAAAUUAGUUCCAGGGAAUCCUCGCCAUUUACCGCUGAGCGUUCGACAAUCCAAAAUGGCGAUUGCCACGUGUUCGGUAAACGAAUGCGGACCACCAGCUAUUCCCCAAUUAGUCUGUGGUUAACCGCAACAGUCUGGGUGGUUAAUAGGCGCCACACAACCUCAGUGGGAGGUCUGGUGGUUUGGUAGUUCAUUCGUUUUUCUCGCUAUUUGCACGAAAUCACUCUGUAACCAUCCAAAUAACCGAACAGGCUGUUUCACAUGGUCUGUUUUAAUAAGGGAUUUCGUUACAGCACCUCACAAAAAACUAUACCAAAGACAACGAAACAAAAAUUGACAAUUUCAUGUCCCUAAAUAAAGGUUUUUACAACUGUAAUUCAUGCGUAGCAUGUUUAAAAAAAAAAAAAAAAAAUCAUCAUCCAACAGACUGAGAACCACUUUCAAAUAAAAAAAUACUGGUAAAAUAUAUAAUAUCAAAGAUACCAUCACCUGCAAUAGCAAAAAUUGUAUUUAUUUAUUGGAGUGUCACAGCUCCCCCUUAGUCCCAUGGAACGGCAUACCUGCUUAGAUUCUAACGGGUCGGCUAAGGGAUGUCCGGCAAAACAAGAAAAACAAACAAAAGAAUUACUUCUCCAGUUCCGUUUGCCGCGACAGGCCAUCUGCAUUGGCAUUCUGCUUCCCGGGGCGAUACUGCAUUGUAAAAUUAUAGGGUUGCAGUGCCAAGCUCCAUCUGAGUAGUCUGGGGUUAUCGCCAGCUACUCUGUUAAGCCAAAUCAAAGGGUUGUGGUCAGUCAGCACUGUGAAAGAGCGUCCAUACAGGUAGGGUUGUAGUUUUUUAAGUGCCCAGACUAAUGCCAGACACUCUUUUUCCACGGUGGCAUAGCUGACUUCGCGUGGUAAGUUUUCUGCUCAGAUACGCCACCGGGUGAUCCAUGCCAUCGUCCCCCACCUGGCUUAGUACUGCUCCCAGUGUGAACGAGAAACCUUUUAGUAUGAUCAGGUGCCGCCAACACAGGAGAUGCACUUAACGCAGCCUUGAGCUUCUGGAAAGCCUCCUCACACUCAGUGGACCAGACUACUUGUCGGGGUAGGGACUGUUUGGUGAGGUCUGUCAGGGGUUUGGCUAGGGCACUGUAUUCCGCUACAAAUUUCCUAUAAUAACCUGCGGUGCCCAAGAACGUGUGUUUUAGUCCGGGGUUGGGGCCACUGGGUGAUGGCCUCAAUCUUAGCUGGCUCUGGUCUCUGUUUUCCUGACCCUACUCUGUGGCCUAAAUAUUGGACUUCAGCCAUGCCUACGUAGCAUUUCUCUGGCUUCAAGGUGAGCCCUGCGUUCUGAAUUCGGUUGAGCACUACUGAGAUGUGCUCCAGGUGGGCUUCCCAAGUGCCACUGAAGAUAGCUAUAUCGUCAAGGUAAGCACAAGCGAAGCCCUGAAAUCCCUCUAGGAGCCGGUCCGCCAUCCUUUGGAACGUAGCUGGGGCAUUCUUAAUCCCAAAUGGCAUAACAUUAAACUGGUAUAGGCCAAAUGGGGUGACAAAUGCCGAUUUUGGAAUGGCUUCAGGCUCCAAGGGGAUUUGCCAAUAUCCCUUACACAAAUCAAUAGUGGUCAAAUAAUUCCCCCCAGCCAAACGGUCUAGCAGCUCGUCUACUCUGGGCAUGGGGUAUGCGUCGGUAACGGUCCGAUCGUUUAGUUUACGGUAGUCCACACACAACCUCAGUGGGAGGUCUGGUGGUUCCGUAGUUCAUUUGUUUUUCUCGCUAUUUGCACGAAAUCACUCUGUAACCAUCCAAAUAACUGAACAGGCUGUUUCGCAUGGUCUGUUUAAUAAGGGAUUUCGUUACAGCACCUCACAAAAAACUAUACCAAAGACAACGAAAC
rnacentral:lncRNA from 1 species